AAGUCGUAACAAGGUCUCCGUAGGUGAACCUGCGGAGGGAUCAUUACUGAGUGAGGGCCUCCGGUCCGACCUCCAACCCUUUGUGAACCAACACUGUUGCUUCGGGGGCGACCCUGCCUUUCGGGCAGUGCGCCCCCGGAGGAUAUCAAAACGCUGCAUCUUUGCGUCGGAGUAUCAAUCAAAUUGAACAAAACUUUCAACAACGGAUCUCUUGGUUCUG
rnacentral:misc_RNA from 1 species